CCUCCCUCGCCAACGCCUACGCUAAGAUCGUCAACGCCUGCUGUUCACACGGACACCGGGAGGCCUGCUUCGACAAGGCGGGUGAGACUUUACGUAACAAAUCAGUCGAGGCUCUGGAUCGUGCCGCGUUGUUGUGCAAGUCCCUCAAGGAACAAGGCAAAGAGAAAUUCUACGAACGGAUGGUGAUACUGUUCUCCCGUCCCGUGGCUGAAGCCUCCUUCAAACAAUUCUCACAGCUGCUGAGAAGAUUCAUCAGCACCAUGGGGGAUUGCUGUGGGAAAGAAAAUGCAGCUGGAUGUCUGUUACAUCACGUAGGGAGUUCACUCAGUCACUCAGUCAGUCACUCAGUUAGUCACUCAGUCAGUCAGUCACUCAGUCAGUCAGUCACUCAGUCAGUCACUCAGUCACUCAG